ensembl:lncRNA
AUUACAGUUGAGUGGAGUCGAGAUUGCCAUACCAUGGUGAUGUAGCCGGGUCAGUCUGGCUGUUGUGAUGUAGCUCUGAGUCUAUGAGGUCACUUCCUGUUCCUGAACAUUAGUGUUUCCUGUGACAUGAAGGCAGUGGUCACACAGGAAGAAAGCGUUUGAAGAAAAAGAAAAAAUGCAUCCUUCAGUGAGGUACAUGGGUCAGGACUUGUUUCUGUGGCGACAGGACUGGACCUGCAGGAGAACAAAGUGUUUAAAAGGGAAACACAAUCAUAAAGAACGAGGAAGCAGCAAGGAUUCUGGGCGGAGCUUCCUGUGGCUGACUGAUCUAACCCUCGCUCACCUCUCAGUGGCGCCGAAGUAACUGCGUCCAUUUGUGAUGUCAGCAAGGUUUCUGUGUGCACUUCCUGUCAGGUCGAGGCGCUGCACUGUCUCUGAGCUCAGGUGGUCUGAUGUGGGUGGGGCUCAGAAAGCACAGCAAAUAAACUCUUUCCAGGUUAAUGCCACCUGCCUGCUCACCUGGUUUCUUGCAAAAGACCUUUUAGAUUAAAAGCCUCGCAUUGUUCCCGUGCAGGUGUUCAGGUUUUAGACUUUUCUGUUCUUAUUGUUGAUUAAAGUUCGCUGAGACUUUUACUGUUAGAAUAAAUGUUGUUCUAGCUCUU